ensembl:snRNA U6 U6 spliceosomal RNA
AUGUUCAGAAUACAGCUCUGAAACACAUAUACUAAACUUGGAACAGUACACAGACUAGCAUGGCCCCGGCACAGAGAUGACAUGCAAGUUCAAGAAGUGCUCCAUAUUUUU